rnacentral:rRNA from 1 species
AGUCACUGACCAUUAGAUACCCGCGUAGUCCCAGCCGUAAACUAUGCGCGUUAGGUGUACUGGUGACCACGAGUCACCGGGGUGCCGAAGGGAAACCGUGAAACGUGCCGCCUGGGAAGUACGGGUCGCAAGGCUGAAACUUAAAGGAAUUGGCGGGGAGCACCACAACGGGUGGAGCCUGCGGUUUAAUUGGACUCAACGCCGGAAAUCUCACCGGAUAGGACAGACGUAUGAUAGUCGGGCUGAAGACUCUACUUGAUGAUCUG